rnacentral:rRNA from 1 species
AAAACACAUGCAAGUCGAGGGGCAGCAUGGUCUUAGCUUGCUAAGGCCGAUGGCGACCGGCGCACGGGUGAGUAACACGUAUCCAACCUGCCGUCUACUCUUGGACAGCCUUCUGAAAGGAAGAUUAAUACAAGAUGGCAUCAUGAGUCCGCAUGUUCACAUGAUUAAAGGUAUUCCGGUAGACGAUGGGGAUGCGUUCCAUUAGAUAGUAGGCGGGGUAACGGCCCACCUAGUCUUCGAUGGAUAGGGGUUCUGAGAGGAAGGUCCCCCACAUUGGAACUGAGACACGGUCCAAACUCCUACGGGAGGCGGCAGUGAGGAAUAUUGGUCAAUGGGCGAGAGCCUGAACCAGCCAAGUAGCGUGAAGGAUGACUGCCCUAUGGGUUGUAAACUUCUUUUAUAAAGGAAUAAAGUCGGGUAUGCAUACCCGUUUGCAUGUACUUUAUGAAUAAGGAUCGGCUAACUCCGUGCCAGCAGCCGCGGUAAUACGGAGGAUCCGAGCGUUAUCCGGAUUUAUUGGGUUUAAAGGGAGCGUAGAUGGAUGUUUAAGUCAGUUGUGAAAGUUUGCGGCUCAACCGUAAAAUUGCAGUUGAUACUGGAUAUCUUGAGUGCAGUUGAGGCAGGCGGAAUUCGUGGUGUAGCGGUGAAAUGCUUAGAUAUCACGAAGAACUCCGAUUGCGAAGGCAGCCUGCUAAGCUGCAACUGACAUUGAGGCUCGAAAGUGUGGGUAUCAAACAGGAUUAGAUACCCUGGUAGUCCACACGGUAAACGAUGAAUACUCGCUGUUUGCGAUAUACAGCAAGCGGCCAAGCGAAAGCGUUAAGUAUUCCACCUGGGGAGUACGCCGGCAACGGUGAAACUCAAAGGAAUUGACGGGGGCCCGCACAAGCGGAGGAACAUGUGGUUUAAUUCGAUGAUACGCGAGGAACCUUACCCGGGCUUAAAUUGCAGGUGAAUUACGGUGAAAGCCGUAAGCCGCAAGGCAUCUGUGAAGGUGCUGCAUGGUUGUCGUCAGCUCGUGCCGUGAGGUGUCGGCUUAAGUGCCAUAACGAGCGCAACCCUUGUUGUCAGUUACUAACAGGUUCUGCUGAGGACUCUGACAAGACUGCCAUCGUAAGAUGUGAGGAAGGUGGGGAUGACGUCAAAUCAGCACGGCCCUUACGUCCGGGGCUACACACGUGUUACAAUGGGGGGUACAGAGGGUCGCUACCACGCGAGUGGAUGCCAAUCCCAAAAACCUCUCUCAGUUCGGACUGGAGUCUGCAACCCGACUCCACGAAGCUGGAUUCGCUAGUAAUCGCGCAUCAGCCACGGCGCGGUGAAUACGUUCCCGGGCCUUGCACA